CGGGUGAGCAGGUAACGACAUCUCCUCUUCCUGCAUUUAGUCGUUACGAUUACGAUCAGCAACUGUUUUUUUUAUCUUUGGUUUAUAUGUGCUCCAAGCUAGUUCAAUGCUUUGUGAGUUCGUUCGAGACCUGUCACAAUCUCCAGUUGAUUGACAUUGCUGACCUGCGGUCCGUGGCGGAACGCCUGCCCGCUGACCCCCGCAUUAGACAAGGUGCCACCGACCGUGAGAUGGAGGUAGUCCGUCCACGACUUGGGUGCCAGACCGUGCUUGAGCGUCUCACGCAGCACGUUGAUCCAGAGCUCUCCUCCGGGAGCAUCGACAGACGGUGGCGACACGCCGGCGUCGUUGACCUGAAGCCUAGGACCCCGGAGCGACUCCAUCCUGACCACGAUCCCCUGGGCGGCCUGGGACUGGCCCAUGAGGGAGUGCCCGUGCCCGCGCGCCGCGACCGUGAGCGGCGAGCCCUCGCCCAGGGAGAAGACGUGCCUAACGGUGGCGGCGAUGUCGGAGACCGAGCCAGGGUGGAGCACGGCGGCCGGCAGGAAGCUGCACUGGUUGCCGAAGUCCCGCGCCAUGGCGGAGACGUCGUGGAAACUGAAAUGGCCGUCGAGGCGCAGCGCGCCGAGGGACAAGAGCACGUCCUCGUCGGGGACGUGCAUGGUCAGCCUGGCGAGCGCCAGCAGGACCAGCAGCUUGAAGUAGUGCACCAGUGAUGAUGGCGGCUUCAUGGUGGCCGGCCGGUCGGCGCUGGGCAGUUGGGACGUCCUGGAAACAGAAGGCAGAGAGAGAGAGAGAGAGAGAGAGAGAGAGAGAGAGAGAUGGGGUUUCCUGUUGUCGAGCAAAGUUUCUUGAUGAGAUGACGCGACAAGGUAAGAAGAGGAAGACGGAGAGAGAAGAGGGGGUUGGAGAAGGCGGUGGCUGUCCAUGCAGGGGAGGGAGCCUCUCUAUAUAGGAGCUUGCCUUGCAAGGAGUGUGGCGGUGCGGCGCGGCGGUCAGCUAGACAGACAGCUAGUCAGUCGUGGCCUCGUGGGCGGGCGGGGCGCUAGCCGUUUGGUAAAAACCGUAUGCCGACUGUCUGCCUGCUUGCCGGUUGCAAAUUCAGGCGCAGACAUGCGCUA
rnacentral:misc_RNA from 1 species